rnacentral:rRNA from 1 species
CAGUAGCCGCGGGAAUACGGAGGGUGCAAGCGUUAAUCGGAAUUACUGGGCGUAAAGCGCACGCAGGCGGUCUGUCAAGUCAGAUGUGAAAUCCCCGGGCUUAACCUGGGAACUGCAUUUGAAACUGGCAGACUGGAGUCUUGUAGAGGGGGGUAGAAUUCCAGGUGUAGCGGUGAAAUGCGUAGAGAUCUGGAGGAAUACCGGUGGCGAAGGCGGCCCCCUGGACAAAGACUGACGCUCAGGUGCGAAAGCGUGGGGAGCAAACAGGAUUAGAUACCCGAGUAGUCCCUGUCUCUUAUAC